UCCGGGAGUAAUUUAUACAUACAUUUUGAUGGAUCAAGUCUCACUCGUUAUCAAUUUUCGUCUAUUUUACAAAAGAGUUUGUCAUUCUCCGAAAUCAAUGGACAUUUCAGAGCACAUUCUUUCAGAAUCGGGGGAGCAACUGAAGCAAAAAGGCUAGGAGUAGAUGACGAAACAUUAAAGAAAUGGGGUCGUUGGACAUCGGAUGCUUACACAAAAUACAUCCGUUUGAACAUUUAAACAUAUAGGCGAUACUUUUUAAAACGCAAUAGCUUAUUAAAAAAAAAAAAAAUAAUAAUACAUUCAUCAAUUGUAGGUGUCAAAUCAAUUUGGUUAAUAGGAUCAUCCAUAGUAUAUUGGGCCAAUAAAGAAGCUUCGUCUAGACCUGGGGGACUUCACCUUGGCCUACAGAAUACAGGUGCUCAUAUGGUUUGGAUUGGUCAAAGGGGUAUGAAAUGGGGUGAUUUAAAUAGAGUCUUUGAACAAAGGUUGCUUAACCGCCCCCUUCCGAGUUUCCUUGUUAUUCAACUUGGGUCUAAUGAUUUGGGUAUAUUGACAUCAGAGAAAUUAUUCAGUGAUAUAGAAUGUGAC
rnacentral:lncRNA from 1 species